GACUCUUGGACACUCUCCAACCUGGAGACGCAGGCACAUGAGGGCCACUCCUGGAUGGGGACUCAGCGAUUCUUGGAAUGCGCCGAGUCCUUGAUCAGCGUGAGUGCCUCUGCCUGGAAGGCUGGCCAGCUGCCCCUAUCCUGCUCCCUGCCCCUCUGCUUGACCCUCUGAGCUUUGGGGCCUCCUCCUGGAAGCCUUCCUGCCCUCCCCAGAGCUGGGUUUUGGGCCUCUCCUCGCUCUCCUGGAUCCCUGGAUCCCAGAGCCUAGAUGCCCAGCGUCGGCAUGACCUGGAGGUGGGGCAGGAGACACGGGCCAGCUGACUCACUGCCGUCCUGAGCUGGCGCCUGGCUGCCUCCGGCUGUGGUCAGUGGGUAUAUUUGUUGGCUUAAUGGAUCGAACUAGGCAGUGGAAGAAAGGGUGACCUUCUAGCCCUGGGCCUGGGCUGGGGAGGAUGGCCGAGCCGGAAGCUCAGCGUUGAGCAGGGUUUCUGUGCCUCGCACCCCUGCUCUCACCCCCGGGCGGCGGAGUGGGCAGAAUCCAGAGCCUCACCCAGAGACUGGAGUGGACGCCUGGCAUGGCUGGGGUCUGCAUCCCAGCCAGCUGGCCAGUCCUCCUGCGGCCCGCUCAGCAGGGAGACCCCCUGCCUCGAUGGAGAGGAGGGGGCUGCUGGGGGCCAGCCGGCACCACUGGUGUGGCCUUCUGCCCAGGGCUUUCUCUCUGGUGCGCCCUGGCCCCCAAGGACUGAGUCAGUUCACAGCAGGCCAACAGUGACUCUGCACCCCAGGCACACCCCCAUCCAGACCUUGUUCUGACCUGAUUUCCUGUCCCACCCCAGAGACUUCCUGUAGCCAGGACAGCACACUCGGCCCAUCUGAUGACGGACAUUAUUUCUGGAAGCUACGUCCACCUGUCAGGUCCCUUCCUGGGACCUGGGUCUCUUUUCGGAGCUGCAGGUGCAUCUGUGCCUACCCCCAGCUCUGGGUAACUUGAUGCCUGAGGACAUGGAACAUGCUGGAGCUUCCACAUGUGGCCAGCCGCCUCUGACCCACUGGCCAGAGUCCAUGUGUCACCGGCACCUGACUCUGGGGGAGCACGCGCCCCCCCAUGCUCUGGCAGAGCAAGGGUGCCCUGCUCCCCGCCCGGGCUGGCACAGAGCAAGCCCCCGCCUCUUGUCAGGAAGCAGAGCUCAGAGACUGGAUGGGCAGACCUUGAGUGAGCUCUGCUGGGAGCAGGAAGGCAGGCGUGGGCGUCUCUCAGAGAGCAGUCUCCUUGCCUGACGCGUGAUGCGGAGGUGAAAACCAGGACAGUCCCGAGAGCGGUGGGUGGGCCCCUGUGAGCCCAGGGGGACCCUCUGGGGCCCCCAGAGACCCUGGGCAGCAGCCUGGACUGCAGUUUCACUUCCCCGGACAGGCACCCAGAGUGAUCUUUAUUGCUUUCAUUUUGAAACCUUUUUCCUUCUGUUUCCUUUCUGGGAUGGCCUGAGAUGACCUCGGACACUGCUACACAAUGGAGUUAGCAAAAGCAUGCCUGGCCACCGACCCACUCAGCCACGGUCCACCCACCCACCCAGCCCUCCAGCCACACACCUGUCCGUCUGUCGUCGGUCCAACCGCCUCCCUACCCACCGGCCCGCCCGCCGGUGCCCCCACUCACACACCCAGCGGUCUGUCCACACACCUGCUUCAGCUAGUUCUACCUGAUUUGCUGUGGGAGUGGCUGGGACGUGCCUCCCGGGAGCAGACCUGUGUCAGGAGACUCCCUCCAGGGCCCGGUUGCAGAGCGGCUGGCCGGGGCUCGGCGCGAGCGAGUCAGUGCGGCCGGAUCCUUGAACAACACGGGCUUGAACUGGCGGGUCCGCGUAGACGCCGGGUGUCUCCCAGUGAAUGUGGUCCGGUGCUGUGAACGUAUUCUCCCUAAGAUUUUCUUGGUUACACGUUCUUUUCUCUGACUUUUUCUAUGGCGAAAAUACAGCGUGUAACACAGCGCGCACAAUGUGUGUUAACUGAUGGCUUGUGUUUUGGGGGGUCAAGUUCUGGGGGAGUUAAAAGUGACGUGUUUUUCGACUGUGCGGGGGGGCAGGUCAGCAUUGGUGUCAGAGUCAGCUCUACGUGGAAUACGGCGUCUCUAACCAGAAACACGCAUGGCACCAUGUCGUGUGUUGACGAGCUGGUAACAUGCGGGCCAGAUGCAGGCCGACCUUGACCCUGGGUCCCCUGGAGGCGAAUUCGUGGUUUAUGGUGACCAGAGACCACCACGGCCAUGCCCUCGGGCUGCCGAGACUGUGGCCACCCCACUGCUGGGGGCAGCACAGGGGCACCUGCUCUCCGCUGUCCUCUGCACCCGCAGGCCGAGGUGCUGAGCUGCACGGAGGCUGGGACAGGCUGCCCCGGGGCUCCCCUGCCUUCCUCGGGGGCCACAGCUGGCCAGGGAAGGUCUAGACACACAAGCAGGAUGGGCAGCCCUGGUCCCGGGAACUGGGGGGAGGGAGUAAUUGGGGGCACACCAGAUGGAGUCCCCGCGGGGAAUCUUUAGGGCUUUGAGGGUGAGGAGGCCUCUGGCCCCAAGACCGGGGUGUGCAGCAGGCAGGACCUUUCCCACUUGGCCUGCCCUUGGCCUUGAAGCUGCAGAUUCAAGGGUGGGUCUUUUCUGUCUAGAGAGGCAGGGCUGGGAGCAAGGGAGGAGGGAGAGGUCUCAGGGAGGCGUGGAGGGCGGGGAGAGGGCGUCUCGGCCGCUGUGUUGGGCUCUCCCUGGUGUUCUUAGAGAGAUGGGGACCAAGUCUGGAGUUCCUUGCCAGUGGUUUUUGGCUCCUGAACUGUGUUUCUUAGAGACACGGUGCCAAGCCUGGGCCUCGUAGGUCUUAAAGGUUUUAUUUUAGGGAAGGAGGCUGCCACACAGUGUUUAUGAGUGGGAUCGCGGCCGGCGCCUGCCUCCCUCUGACCCGCCCCUUGGCCUUCAGCCCUGCUCUGGGCGCCCCCAGCCCCGUAGCCACCUGUCGUCCCAGAACAACCCGAGUUCAGAUCCGGGCUCCGUGCUCUUCCCGCCAUCCCUGAGUGAGGCACUGGGCCUCCUCACCUUUGUGGAAAAGAACCCCCUUGCCCCUAAGCUGUCCUAUGGAUGGACUUGACAGAUUCAGUCCAAGGUGUGGGAAGGGGCUCCUUGGGCCCCCGCUGGCCUGCUCCACUCCCAAAGCCUCCAUGCCCCCAGGUCGCUGCUCCCAGCCCCGGCCCCUGCCCCAGCCCCUGCCCCAGCCCCCUGUACCUUCCUGAGCGCCCAGCAGGGCCCAGCAUGUACCCGGUACAGCAGGCGGAGGUUUAACGGCUAAAAAUAACCCAAAAGCUCAAACGGCAAUGUGGCCCUCCUGCAGACCCCGGCCUUGCCAGUUUCUAGGGUGCUGGCUCUGCAGGGGUGGCCCCCACCCCGGGCUGCCCUGGUGCCCCUCCCUCCCAGCUCCCUCUGGCCCUUCGUGGGCUGCCCCCGCUCUGCCUCUCCCCACACGCCCGUCCCAGGGAGGGUCACUGUCCUUCCUGCUCUCCCGCUGAACUUGGACUCAGGCUUGUGUGUGAUUAAUCUGUGGUUUCCAGACCAGGUGUGGCCGAGGGGGUUCGGUGGGGGGGGUCUGGGUGGGCUUGCCCUGUCCUAGCUCUGCAGGGGUGCCUCGCGCGGGCUGUCCCGGUGAUGUGGUGUGGACUCCGGGCUCUCCUGGCUCAGUGUGCCUCCCUCUCCAGGAAGUCCUUUUGGGUCUCCUCAGGCGGCACCCCGUUUCCUUUAAUCUGCCCAUUCCUUACUGCUUUGGCCAUGUUUUUUUAAAAUCAGUUGGAAAUCUAACUCUGACUGGAUGGGCCGAGCGCUGGCAGAGGUCGGCCCCUGGCAGGUGGUCUCCGGGUGCACAGCCGUGCCCUCUGCCAAGUCGGGGCAGCCGGCUGUUGGGGGAGCACCUGCCCGAGCCCUUCUGUAGCUGGUCCUUCCAGACGUGUCCCCAGCCCACCCCGGCCCAGCCGGGAGCAGCCAACACCACAUCGAGUCCACGGAGACGAGGGACGCGCGGCACCAGACUCCCUGCCCGUGGCUGUCACGAGGAUGUCCUUUGUCUUUUUCCCAUUUUAAAUCAUCGUUCACUUACUGAGCACAGAUGACUUCAUGAGGUCCUGACUCAAAGCCUGCGCAGGGGGGCCGGGGGGUCCUUCCUACUUUAGCUUCGCGGGCGCCCGUCACACCCUCCCUGCCGGCAGCUGGAGCCUUUUCUUUGUGCAUUCCGGGUUCUGGAUGGCCGGCGUGGGCCCUGCCCAGCCCCCAUGUUUGCUCUCCGGGCACAGGGCCUGGCUGGGACGCCUGCCAGGGGAUGUUUGCUGAGUGAGUGCGUCAGCCUGUAGCUCCAUUUCCACAGGGUGGGGGGCCCGUGGGUCGGCUGCUGUCUGAGGGAACCCCGAAGGCUGUGCCUCCGUCCUCCAGCCCGGAACCCUCCCCUCCCCAUGUGCAGUCUCUCCUCUGCGGGUUCCCCGUGGUCCAGACCCAUCUUCCGCGUGCUGGGCCCUGUGAGGGUUAGGCCCCCGCAGGAGAGCGUCUCUGGGCUCCCGGGCUGAUUCAGUGCUGGUUGGGGGACCCUGCUGACCCCAGCUAGCAGAGCCUGGACUCUGUCCUCCCCCCUUGUACUGGCUAAGAGGUGGCCAAGUCCUUCUCCCAAAGCUGCUCAGGCCUGAAUUGUCCCCCGCCUCCCUGGAGUGGCCCCUGGUUGGAGGAAGGGCGGGGCGAGUAGGGGGAGGGGCAGGCGGGUUUGGGAGUGGGGGUUGCGGAGGUCUGGGUGGGGCAGCAUUGCCUUCUGACGCCACCGGCAUGACGGCAUGACCCCAUGCAGAGGAGUGUAGCCCACAGGCCGCAUUCCAGAAGUCGGCCUGCCCUAGGGCCCUGUGGACGGCGGGCAGUGGCCCCCUGGUACAGCCCGGGAGCACCGGGCCCAGAUGCAGGCUCUGCGCGCAUACGCUGCCAGGUCCUGGUCAGGAACCCUGGCCGCUUGGGGCCCCAGGAGAGACCAGCCCAGGGCUGCGGGAGGGCCACCGGCAAGGAAGUGCCCGCUGCGGCCUGGGAUUUCGGGACCAGG